rnacentral:rRNA from 1 species
AGUGAAUAUUAGGACAUCGCUUCGGCGAGUUCGACCCUCCACUUUUCAACUCUGUGCAUUUAUUGGCGGAAUCGAGCGAGCAAUCGUGAAGUUCUGCGUCUCAUUUUUAAACACUAGUCAAAGUAUGUAACGAAAUAUCGAAAUAAAAAAAACUUUCAACAACGGAUCUCUUGGCUCUCGCAUCGAUGAAGAACGCAGCGAAAUGUGAUAAGUAAUGUGAAUUGCAGAAUUCAGUGAAUCAUCGAAUCUUUGAACGCACCUUGCGCUCCCUGGUAUUCCGGGGAGCAUGUCUGUUUGAGUGUCAUGAACUCUUCAACUCACCAGUUUCUUGUAGACUGAUUGGUGUUUGGAUUUUGAGCGCUGCUGGUCUUCGGAUCUAGCUCGUUCGUAAUAUAUUAGCAUCUCUAAUUCGACUUCGGAUUGACUCAGUGUAAUAGACUAUUCGCUGAGGACACACCUAGUGUGGCCGAACGUUGAUCUCAGUAGAAGCUUCCAACUAUUGUAGUCAAUUUUAGAUUAGACCUCAGAUCAGGCAGGAUUACCCGCUGAACUUAA